AGCUUUGCGCAGUGGCAGUAUCGUAGCCAAUGAGGUUUAUCCGAGGCGCGAUUAUUGCUAAUUGAAAAGUGUAUGAUCCUCCGUGUACCCCCUUGCUUAGUUGUGUGGGUUCAUAUCCUUAGAGGUCAGUAAGUGACCUUGACCUGA